rnacentral:rRNA from 1 species
AACGAACGUUGGCGGCAGGCUUAACACAUGCAAGUCGAGCGCCUCGCAAGAGGAGCGGCAGACGGGUGAGUAACGCGUGGGAACGUACCCUUAUCUUCGGAAUAGCUCUGGGAAACUGGAAGUAAUACCGAAUGUGCCCUUAGGGGGAAAGAUUUAUCGGAUAAGGAUCGGCCCGCGUUGGAUUAGCUAGUUGGUGGGGUAAAGGCCUACCAAGGCGACGAUCCAUAGCUGGUCUGAGAGGAUGAUCAGCCACAUUGGGACUGAGACACGGCCCAAACUCCUACGGGAGGCAGCAGUGGGGAAUAUUGGACAAUGGGCGCAAGCCUGAUCCAGCCAUGCCGCGUGAGUGAUGAAGGCCUUAGGGUUGUAAAGCUCUUUCACCGGAGAAGAUAAUGACGGUAUCCGGAGAAGAAGCCCCGGCUAACUUCGUG